rnacentral:lncRNA from 10 species
UGAUUCUGCUGCCUCUGCCAGAGUCAGAAAACUGUGGAUGUGGGAAGCUGCCCGUGGAGUCAGGAAGUCAUCCCUACUGAUGGAGCCUCUGCAGCCACCUUGGUCCUGGUCCACACCAGCAAUGUUGAUGCUGCCCUGCAGCCUGCCUAUCCCCUGGCUUAAUUCCGGCUCCAUGCAUGUGACGAGCAGAAAAAAGAAAGUCGCAUCUGGACCUCCGGCGGCAAGGGAGUCUGAGAAAGAUAGAUCUGUGCAUGGUCAUCUUAACCCUCCUGUAUCCUUAAAGCCCAGCACCAGGUCAAUUCUUCUGCAUCAGUUAAGCUCCUUGGAGGCCC